UAAAAGAAACAUUGAUGAUGUUAACUCUAGC
rnacentral:piRNA from 1 species